rnacentral:tRNA from 1 species
ACCUGGCUGUCCCAGUCAGUAGAGCGUAUGGCUCUUGAUCUUGGGGUGGUGAGUUCAAGUCUCACGCUGGGUG